rnacentral:rRNA from 1 species
GUAACACGUAGUCAACAUGCCCAGGGGACGUGGAUAACCUCGGGAAACUGAGAUUAAACCGCGAUAGGUCAAGAUUUCUGGAAUGGAUCGUGUCUUAAAUCUACAUGGCCCCUGGAUUGGACUGCGGCCGAUCAGGCUGUUGGUGAGGUAAUGGCCCACCAAACCUAUAACCGGUACGGGCUCUGAGAGGAGAAGCCCGGAGAUGGGCACUGAGACAAGGGCCCAGGCCCUAUGGGGCGCAGCAGGCGCGAAACCUCUGCAAUGGGCGAAAGCCUGACAGGGUUACUCUGAGUGAUUUCCGCUAAGGAGAUCUUUUGGCAGCUCUAAAAAUGGUGCAGAAUAAGGGGUGGGCAAGUCUGGUGUCAGCCGCCGCGGUAAUACCAGCACCCCGAGUGAUCGGGACGAUUAUUGGGCCUAAAGCAUCCGUAGCCGGUCGUGCAAGUCCUCCGUUAAAUCCAGCCGCUCAACGGAUGGGCUGCGGAGGAUACUACAGGACU